CCGCCGCCACCUCCCCCCGCCCGCUGAAGAGCGCCUGCGAGGGCGGGCGGCGCGGCACUGCACGGCGUAGCGCGGCGCAUCGCGACUCGGCUGGGCUCGGCUCGGCUCGGCUCGGUUCGGUUCUGCACGGGCCGGCGGCAUCCGCGGCUCAGCCGCCAGCGCCCACACACCCGCCGCCAGGCACCCGCCUCCCGCCACCCUUCCUCCUUUUCCUCCUUCUCCUCUUCUUCCUCCUCCUCCUCCUCCUCCACCGGGACUCUCUGCUGGGAUCAGCCCGCCGCCGCUGUUGUUGUUGGCCGGCUCCGCCGCAUCGAGGAUAUCUUGGCUGCCGGAGAGGCAGCGACGCCUCUCUUUCUGGACUCCUGUACGGUGCCGCCGCCGCCGAGGGACGCGGAGGAGCAGGCGAGCGCCGGAGGCCAGGUGAGGUGGGGACGGCGGGAAGGUGGCUCCGCCACCGGCGGAUCUCGGCGGCCGCCCGGGGGAGCCGGGCACGGCCUUCGGCCCCCAUCAUGAGGAGCACGGCCGGGCCCCCUGAGCGACCUCCCCCGCGGGUAUGGCGGGAGCCGCGGCCGGGGAGCGGGCAGAGCCGGCGGGCGACGAGGGUGGUGGGGGCGCCCGGUGAGGUUAACCCGGAGGCGGGCGGGCCGCGUCCGGAGCGGCGGUGGAGCGGGAUGCCGGGGUUGAGGCGGCAGCGCGGCCGGGAGGGAAGGGUUAAUGGGCAGCGCGCACUCUGGAUUUGGUUAGUACUUUAAAGGGGCUUAAAAAAAAACGCUGGGCUGAAUGAUUUCCCCGUCUAACUUUUAUGUGGGCGAGUGUGUCAUAUGUGCGAAAAGUCAUACCGGCUAUCUCGCUCAUCCCUGCUCGGGGAGCCCGAGAGCUGCGCGGAGGAGCAGCGCGGCUGUGUCUUAACCUAUUGGUACCAAGGUGGUUUGGCUAAAAAAAUUGCCAUUUAAAAGCAAAACACCAGCCAGACACCUCCUCAAGUUUAAAAAAAAAAAAAACAACACGCAAACAAAAAAA
rnacentral:lncRNA from 1 species